GAUGAACGCUGGCGGCGUGCCUAAUACAUGCAAGUCGAGCGAACGGACGAGAAGCUUGCUUCUCUGAUGUUAGCGGCGGACGGGUGAGUAACACGUGGAUAACCUACCUAUAAGACUGGGAUAACUUCGGGAAACCGUAGCUAAUACCGGAUAAUAUUUUGAACCGCAUGGUUCAAAAGUGAAAGACGGUCUUGCUGUCACUUAUAGAUGGAUCCGCGCUGCAUUAGCUAGUUGGUAAGGUAACGGCUUACCAAGGCAACGAUGCAUAGCCGACCUGAGAGGGUGAUCCGCCACACUGGAACUGAGACACGGUCCAGACUCCUACGGGAGGCAGCAGUAGGGAAUCUUCCGCAAUGGGCGAAAGCCUGACGGAGCAACGCCGCGUGAGUGAUGAAGGUCUUCGGAUCGUAAAACUCUGUUAUUAGGGAAGAACAUAUGUGUAAGUAACUGUGCACACCUUGACGGUACCUAAUCAGAAAGCCACGGCUAACUACGUG
rnacentral:rRNA from 1 species